UCAACUUGAGAGUUUGAUCCUGGCUCAGAACGAACGCUGGCGGUAUGCUUAACACAUGCAAGUCGAACGGGUGUAGCAAUACAUCAGUGGCAAACGGGUGAGGAAUAUAGAGGAAUUUUCCCAGAAGUGAGGAAUAACUCUGAGAAAUCAGAGCUAAUACCACAUAAUAUCCUGCGGGAGAAAGCAGCAAUGCGCUUUUGGAUGAGCCUCUAUCGGAUUAGCUAGUUGGUAGGGUAAUGGCCUACCAAGGCAAUGAUCCGUAGCUGGUCUGAGAGGAUGAUCAGCCACACUGGAACUGAGACACGGUCCAGACUCCUACGGGAGGCAGC
rnacentral:rRNA from 1 species